AGUUCGAUUAUGGCUCAGGAUGAACGCUGGCGGCAUGCCUAAUACAUGCAAGUCGAACGGAGUGAAGCCUUCGGGUUUCAUUCAGUGGCGAACGGGUGAGUAAUACGCAGGGAACCUGGCCAUGGCAGGGGGAUACACUCUGGAAACGGAGCAUAAGACCCCAUAGGCAGUAAGGCGGCAUCGCCUUACUGUUAAAGAAAGCUGAAAGGCUUUGGCGAUGGAUGGACCUGCGGUGCAUUAGCUUGUUGGUGAGGCAACGGCUUACCAAGGCGAUGAUGCAUAGCCGGCCUGAGAGGGCGGACGGCCACACUGGGACUGAGACACGGCCCAGACUCCUGCGGGAGGCAGCAGUAGGGAAUUUUCGUCAAUGGGCGCAAGCCUGAACGAGCAAUGCCGCGUGAGUGAGGAAGGUCUUCGGACUGUAAAGCUCUGUUGCCGGGGAAAAAGGGGAAAUGCAGGAAAUGGCAUUUCAUGGAUGGUACCCGGCCAGAAAGCCACGGCUAACUACGUGCCAGCAGCCGCGGUAAUACGUAGGUGGCGAGCGUUAUCCGGAAUGAUUGGGCGUAAAGGGUGCGCAGGCGGUCUGUUAAGUCUGAAGGCAAAGGGAUGAGCUCAACUCAUUUAUGAUUCAGAAACUGGCAGACUUGAGGACAGGAGAGGGCGGUGGAACUCCAUGUGUAGCGGUAAAAUGCGCAGAGAUAUGGAAGAACACCAGUGGCGAAGGCGGCCGCCUGGCCUGUGACUGACGCUGAGGCACGAAAGCGUGGGGAGCAAAUAGGAUUAGAUACCCUAGUAGUCCACGCCGUAAACGAUGAGGAGCAGGUGUUGGGAGUGAAAUCUCAGUGCCGAAGCCAACGCAGUGACUCCUCCGCCUGGGGAGUAUGCACGCAAGUGUGAAACUCAAAGGAAUUGACGGGGGCCCGCACAAGCGGUGGAGUAUGUGGUUUAAUUCGAAGCAACGCGAAGAACCUUACCAGGUUUUGACAUCGGAUGCGAAGGCGCAGAGAUGCGCUGGAGGCUAUCAUCCAGACAGGUGGUGCAUGGUUGUCGUCAGCUCGUGUCGUGAGAUGUUCAGUUAAGUCUGGCAACGAGCGCAACCCCCGUGGUAUGUUACUAACGCUUUAGGGCGAGGACUCAUAUCAGACUGCCGGUGACAAACCGGAGGAAGGCGGGGAUGACGUCAAAUCAUCAUGCCCCUUAUGACCUGGGCUACACACGUACUACAAUGGCGUCUACAGAGGGAAGCGACCCUGAGAAGGGAAGCGAAACCGGAAAAGGGCGUCCCAGUUCGGAUUGAAGUCUGCAACCCGACUUCAUGAAGAUGGAAUCGCUAGUAAUCGCGGAUCAGCAUGCCGCGGUGAAUACGUUCCCGGGCCUUGUACACACCGCCCGUCAAACCAUGGAAGCCGGCAACGCCCGAAGCCGGUGGCAUAACCUUUUAGGAGUGAGCCGUCGAAGGCGGGGCCGAUGACUGGGGUUAAGUCGUAACAAGGUACCC
rnacentral:rRNA from 1 species